GCUUUUGACAUUCUACGUUUUAAUAUAUUCAUAAAAAAUAUCGAGAAAUGUUAAGUCCAUAUGUUUUCUAUUUCUCUCAUGAAUACAAAUGAGAAAGUUUAAAGUCAGGAACCUCGUCAGCGUUUGUCCUUAAUCUAAGACAUUUGGUCUUGAUUGCAAAUCUUUGAUUGUCAUUCAAAGCGAUUUUAAGCUCUGCAUAACCUUAGUCUACAUAUUGACUACAUACAGUCCUUGGAUGGUGUAAACUUCCCACUAACACCAUACACCAUUACACCAUACACCAUACACCAUACACCUUUACACCAUACACCUUGUGCCAUUACACCGUACACGUUACACGUUUGCACCAUACACAUUACACAUACACCAUACACCAUUACCCAUUCUAACUACACGAUCCGAAAUUACCCAUUAUGCAAUUAAAUUUAAAAUAUUAGGAUUAUUAUUAUUGUUUAUUUUUAAAAUCCGAAAAAUUAAAAUAAAAAGAACUUUGUUUUCAACUAAUGACCUUUCGUACACUAUUCCCGAUCGCACGUUACACAAUCACACGAUUCCUCAUACACCAUUACACCAUUCCCCUUACACCAUACACCAAAGCACCACACACCUUAUACCAUUGCACCAUAUGCCAUACACCAUUACACCAUACACGUUUUUGGGGAAGUUUACACCAUCCAAGGACUGUAAUACGGUUUAGUUUAAUUAUCAACACCGUAUGUUUACCUCCAGAUAUUUUUUGUGUUGCGUUAAUGUGUCACUGACAGGAGAUUUCAAAUAGUUCAAAACACGUACAAAUUGAACGAUUCCAAUUAUAUUUUGUUUAAUGCAAAUGUCCCUUUAGCAACUAACUCACUAUUAAUAAUAUUUUUGCACCGCCAGAAAGAAAAAAAUAUCCAGAAACAGCAUUAGACCAAAUAAUGUCACUUCAAUCUUACUUCUAGUCGUCAUUUAAUUCUGUUAAGUUAUGUAGGAAAAACGUAUCUUUUCAAAUCGUUAAAACACACUGCUUACUACUUAACAUAAAAUUAAAGUUUUUGUUGCAUCAAAAUAAAUAUAUACAUUUUUUAUUUGUUCACCUGUACAAAUAGAAUGAUGUCAAACCAUUUUAAAGAAACUAUCGUAUUUUUCCAUAUAC
rnacentral:lncRNA from 1 species